UUAUAAAAGUUUCUCAUUAAGGGUAAAAUGAGUAAAAUGAAGAGUUUAAGGUUGAAUUAUUUCCAAAUUUAGAAAUAUAUCAUUCAUUUUUGGAACACACUAAAAAGGAAAGUACUUUAUCUAAUUUGAAAUAGAGGGAGUAUUACUUAAAUUUGCACAAAUUCUUUUAACACUGGCACAAUCCCUUCAGACCUUAACCAAAAACCCUUCGGAAAUUACUCAGUAUGGACCAAUUCGGCUAUGUAACAUCAUCUACAAGACCAUCACUAAAAUACUGGCUAAUCGUAUUAGGUCAUUUCUCCCCACUCUAAUCGCUCCCACACAAUGUAGUUUUGUUCUGGGUAGACGUGCAGUUUUUAAUGCCAUUAUUGUUCAGGAGGCUUUAUAUUCCUUUCAUAAAUCCAAAGGCAAGUUAGGCAAAGUGUUGCUUAAAAUCGAUCUUAAAAAAACAUUUAACCGCCUCGAAUGGUCAUUUAUUUGCUACUCCCUACAAAAACUCAACUUUCCCCCUUCGAUUAUUAAACUUAUUAUGUCCUGUAUUACAACCUCUUCAAUUCUAUACAUGUCAAUGGAAAGCAUAUUCCUUACUUUCACCCAUCGUGCAAGAUACGUCAAGACGACCCCCUCUCUCCCUAUCUUUUUAUUAUUUGCAAGAAAAUUUUUUCUCAACUCAUCUAGGAAGCAACACUCUCAGAUUGUCUAUCUCCCACUCCUCUUUGCCGAUGAUCUCAUUCUUUUCUCAAAAUCAGAUCUUCCCAGUGCCCAUUCAAUUAUCCAUUAUUUCACCAAUUAAGUGCCCAAUCGGAUCAACAACUAAAUUUUCACAAAUCAAAACUUAUUUUCUCAAAUAAUGUACCCCAAAAUCAACAACACCUACUUGCCUCUCUUUUAAACAUUCGACCCCCUUCUUUAUUUGGUAAAUACUUAGGGUUUCCCCUCACAAACUUAUACCCCAAAUCUUCUGACUACCAAUAUAUUCUUUAUUACAUGAACAAUCGACUUCAAGGAUGGAAGACUAAAUUCCUUUCUCUCACAGGGAGAACCACCUUUAUUUAAUCAGUUCUCAACUCCAUUUCCACUUACGCUAUGCAAAAUCACAUUCUACCAUCUAAGACACUCCUCCAUAUUGAGCACAUCCAACGAAUCUUUCUCUAGGUCUCUAUACCCACACAUCACAAAAUCCACCUACUCCCUUGGGAUGCGGGAUGCAAUUACCAAACCCAAAUCCUAGGGUGGAUUGGGGCUUCCCCAAGCCCACACCAAAGGCAUCGCUGUGCUUGCUUGCCUUGCAUGGUGUUUGUCUACCUUACCAAACCUUUUAUGGGUUCAAACUCUCUCUGCCCAAUAUUGUACCACUCAUUGCACUCCUCCUUCGCCUCUUAAAUUCACUACUAAACCAUCUGACUCACAUAUAUGAAAAAGUCUCAGUAAAGCUGUUCCCUUUGCCAAAACUGUUCAUCAGCAACAUUAGCUUAUAGACCGACAACUGGAUAUUUCCUAAUUUUUCCCUUCGUUCUUUAAUUCAAGUACCACUCAUUGCCUAUGAACACCAACUCAUACUUAAUUUCAUUCUAACACUAUCCUCUUCUUAUGACCUCUCCUUGCUUUCCUUUGAUGUACAAACAAAUAUCUAACGUCUCAUUCACAACACUCUCAUCCAUCCACAAUCUGGCAAACAGGACACUCACUGUUGGCACCCAUCCCAUAAUGGUACUUUCUUUACAACCACUACUUACUCUUUAUAUAUUCAACUUUACUCGCUACCCUCUCCUCCCUUUCCUGAUCAUUGGGUUCGGAAACAAACACCCUUAACAAAAUUAAACAUUUCCUUUGGCUUCUCUUGCACUGUCUGUUACUAACCAACUAACUCGUUUUCCAUCUAAUGAUCCUUCCUCACGGCCACAUGUUCCAUAUGUGGCCAUCCAGAAGAAGUCAUUCCACAUCUAUUUCUAUAUUGCUCUUCGGCAGCCCACAUCUGGCAACACUACAAUAUCUCUACCUCGCCUGCCCAAUAAUCCCUUCAGCACCACCUCAACUGGAUCCGCAACCAGUGCCCACCACAGGUUAUUCGUAUGUUGGCCCCCACCUUUCCAUCCUCACUCCUUUUAUACUUUGGCAUAUUUGGCUCACUCGCAACCAUAACCUUUUUCACCACUCUACCACUCCAUUUAUCCCAAUAUCAUUUCCCCCUAAGCCAUUGAAUUCACUCAUUUCGCUGCCAAAUCCACCAUAAAGCUUCUUCACAUGAUGCUUCUGGUCUACUGGCAACCUCCUCUACAAGGCUACUCCACGCCAUUGCAUCAUACUACUAUUUUGCAAGCAGAACUGCUUGGUCUCUACCAUGGAUUACGUAUAGCACUCAACAACCACUACAAGCCACUUAUUGCAGAAACUGAUUCACAGGUCAACUUCCAAAGCACAACAUGGGAAGUUCCUAAAAUCAAUGCACCAGAAUAGGAAAGCAACCAAAGAAGGUACAAUAGCAGAGGCAGACAAUUUUCUUAUAAACAUCCCUCCGUCAAAAGCGUACAUCAAGGAAAUAAGGAAGAAAAGGAAAUCAAUCAACUAUGCAAGACCUACAAAAUACUCAAAUUAAGAGAUUGGAAGGAAGACUGCAAGAUGGAAAGCUUUAGAGUCCAAGACUGUCAAGGAAGAUCUAACAUAUUGAUUGAAUUUGAAUCUAUCCCUGUUUCAUACGCUGGAUUCAAAAGGCAACCCUUGGGUCCUACUCUUAGAACACACUGCCUCAAAAAGAAAAUCAUAAUCAACAAUUUUCCAAAUCUCAGAGAAAGAAUAGACAGCCUCAUCAAGAACUAUAUAAAAAGAGAAUAAAAGAUGUGGAAGAUCAUGCAUCUUUCAUACAAGUUUUCACUCUUUCUACCUUUUAGAAAAACCAAUGUAUUUCUAACUUUACUAGUGUCCCAAUAGAUAGAGAGAAAAAGAAAGCAAGGGAAAGAUUGUAUCACAAUUUCAUAUAGUAACUCCUUAGUGGUAAACAUGAGAAAAACCACACUCUUAUUUGUAAUUGUUCGAUAGAAGAACUAAGAGAACUCUUGUGACUAAAGGAUACUGGAUGUUGGUGCUACAUCGA